UGGGGAAUUUUGGACAAUGGGCGCAAGCCUGAUCCAGCAAUGCCGCGUGCAGGAUGAAGGCCUUCGGGUUGUAAACUGCUUUUGUACGGAACGAAAAGGCUCUGGUUAAUACCUGGGGCUCAUGACGGUACCGUAAGAAUAAGCACCGGCUAACUACGUGCCAGCAGCCGCGGUAAUACGUAGGGUGCAAGCGUUAAUCGGAAUUACUGGGCGUAAAGCGUGCGCAGGCGGUUAUAUAAGUCAGAUGUGAAAUCCCCGGGCUCAACCUGGGACCUGCAUUUGAGACUGUAUAGCUAGAGUACGGUAGAGGGGGAUGGAAUUCAGCGUGUAGCAGUGAAAUGCGUAGAUAUGCGGAGGAACACCGAUGGCGAAGGCAAUCCCCUGGACCUGUACUGACGCUCAUGCACGAAAGCGUGGGGAGCAAACA
rnacentral:rRNA from 1 species